rnacentral:rRNA from 1 species
GGAAGGAUCAUUAUCGUACAAAAUGUGAGGGGCAUGUGAGGGCUGUCGCUGACUCAAAGUCGUGCACGCCCGAGUGUGUCCUCUCACAUAAUAAUCCAUCUCACCCUUUGUGCAUCGCCGCGUGGGCACCCUUUGGGAUCAUCUCGGAGGGGGCUCGCGUUUUCACACAAACCCCCCUUUUAAAAGUGUAGAAUGACCUCAUUUAUGCGCUAACACGCAAUCAAUACAACUUUCAACAACGGAUCUCUUGGCUCUCGCAUCGAUGAAGAACGCAGCGAAAUGCGAUACGUAAUGUGAAUUGCAGAAUUCAGUGAAUCAUCGAAUCUUUGAACGCACCUUGCGCCCCUUGGUAUUCCGAGGGGCACACCCGUUUGAGUGUCGUGAAAACCUCAACCUCCUUGGUUUCUUCUGGAGACCAAAGGCAGGCUUGGACUUUGGAGGCCUUUGCUGGAACCUCUCUCUUUUGAAGGCCAGCUCCUCUUAAAUGAAUUAGCAGGGUCCUCUUUGCCGAUCCUCGACGUGUGAUAAGAUGUUUCCAUGUCUUGGUUUCUGGCUCUGUCACUUUUGGGACCCGCUUCUAACCGUCUUGACCUUGCAUCGAGACAAUGUUCGAGCAUGUCUCCCUUCUCGGGAAGCUCCCUCGACCCCACGAACCCUUGACCUCAAAUCGGGUG